ACGGCUGCUAAUACCCCAUAUGCCGCGAGGUGAAAUGAAUUUCGCCUGAGGAUGCGCUCGCGUCUGAUUAGCUAGUUGGUGUAGGUAAUGGCUCACCAAGGCAUCGAUCAGUAGCUGGUCUGAGAGGAUGAUCAGCCACACUGGGACUGAGACACGGCCCAGACUCCUACGGGAGGCAGCAGUGGGGAAUUUUCCGCAAUGGGCGAAAGCCUGACGGAGCAACGCCGCGUGAGGGAUGAAGGCCUCUGGGCUGUAAACCUCUUUUAUCAAGGAAGAAGAUCUGACGGUACUUGAUGAAUAAGCCACGGCUAAUUCCGUGCCAGCAGCCGCGGUAAUACGGGAGUGGCAAGCGUUAUCCGGAAUUAUUGGGCGUAAAGCGUCCGCAGGCGGCCCUUCAAGUCUGCUGUUAAAAAGUGGAGCUUAACUCCAUCAUGGCAGUGGAAACUGUUGGGCUUGAGUGUGG
rnacentral:rRNA from 1 species